UUCCGGUUGAUCCCGCCGGACCCGACUGCUAUCAGAGUGGGACUAAGCCAUGCGAGUCGACGUAGCAAUGCGUGGCGAACGGCUCAGUAACACGUAGUCAACAUGCCCAGGGGACGUGGAUAACCUCGGGAAACUGAGAAUAAACCACGAUAGGUCACGAUUUCUGGAAUGGAUCAUGGCAUAAAUCUACAUGGCCCCUGGAUUGGACUGCGGCCGAUCAGGCAGUUGGUGAGGUAAUGGCCCACCAAACCUAUAACCGGUACGGGCUCUGAGAGGAGAAGCCCGGAGAUGGGCACUGAGACAAGGGCCCAGGCCCUAUGGGGCGCAGCAGGCGCGAAACCUCUGCAAUAGGCGAAAGCCUGACAGGGUUACUCUGAGUGAUUUCCGCUAAGGGGAUCUUUUGGCACCUCUAAAAAUGGUGCAGAAUAAGGGGUGGGCAAGUCUGUGUCAGCCGCCGCGGUAAUACCAGCACCCCGAGUGGUCGGGACGAUUAUUGGGCCUAAAGCAUCCGUAGCCGGUUCUGCAAGUCUUCCGUUAAAUCCAGCCGCUCAACGGAUGGGCCGCGGAGGAUACUACAGGACUAGGAGGCGGGAGAGGCAAGCGGUACUCAGUGGGUAGGGGUAAAAUCCUUUGAUCCAUUGAAGACCACCAGUGGCGAAGGCGGCUUGCCAGAACGCGCUCGACGGUGAGGGAUGAAAGCUGGGGGAGCAAACCGGAUUAGAUACCCGGGUAGUCCCAG
rnacentral:rRNA from 1 species